GACGAACGCUGGCGGCGUGCUUAACACAUGCAAGUCGAACGGAAAGGCCCUGCUUUUGUGGGGUGCUCGAGUGGCGAACGGGUGAGUAACACGUGACUAACCUGCCCUUGACUUUGGGAUAACUUCAGGAAACUGGGGCUAAUACCGGAUAGGAGCUCCUGCUGCAUGGUGGGGGUUGGAAAGUUUCGGCGGUUGGGGAUGGACUCGCGGCUUAUCAGCUUGUUGGUGGGGUAGUGGCUUACCAAGGCUUUGACGGGUAGCCGGCCUGAGAGGGUGACCGGCCACAUUGGGACUGAGAUACGGCCCAGACUCCUACGGGAGGCAGCAGUGGGGAAUAUUGCACAACGGGCGGAAGCCUGAUGCAGCAACGCCGCGUGCGGGAUGACGGCCUUCGGGUUGUAAACCGCUUUCGCCUGUGACGAAGCGUGAGUGACGGUAAUGGGUAAAGAAGCACCGGCUAACUACGUG
rnacentral:rRNA from 1 species